AUUCCAAGAACCAGGAGGUUGUUUGCUGUACUCUCCCUUGUACAGUUAGCUGUCUCUAGUGCCUGAAUGCACUAAUUGUCCUUUGGGUAUGGAUGAGGUAAUGAAGGAAAGGGAUGCUGGGAAGAGAGGCCACAUGAGAAGGCUGCAGCAAACUAAGUGUUGCUUGCUAAAGAAAAAUGAAAGCUGGAAUUUCAGCAGGGAAGAAAGUAUAUGCCCCACCGUGAUGAGUACAAACACACAGCAUCAGGGAAGCCACACAGAAUGAAGCUCUGAGAAGACUGUUAGCAUUUUCCCUCCACGCCCCAGGGGAAAAGGUUGGUUCUCUAACUUGAUGUAUACAAAUUUUCUGAGAAGAUUAUUUAAAAAGUAGUUUCCACCCAAUCCAAGGAUUCCGAUUCAGCAGGGCUGAGGUACUCCGAAGCAGGGUAUGGAUUCUGCUUUCAUCUUUCAAUGCAAGCCUGUUUCCACAGGGUUGAGAUCUGGCAUGGACAAUUUCAGCCUGAAACGAUUACUUUUGGAAAUUUGCAGUGAGUGGAAACAGUCAUGUAGAGCUGUGGAUCUUGCUACCUGGAUCAAUAACUUCUUCUAGUUAAGCUUCUUGCCAAGGAAAAGCAAGGAAUAUCAAAUUUCAUAGACCUAAUGAACCACUGGAAACUGCUUGCACCCAUGUGUGCAAGGAUCGCUUUUUAUGAUUUAUACAAACCAAAGCACUCAUUGGAAUAAGAAUAAUAGCUAACGUUUAUUUAUCAUUUAUUAUCCUGGCCACUGUGCCAAGUAUUUAUAUACAGUGAGUUAUUUAAUCCCUGCAACAACCCAUGGGAGUGGGGUUUAAUCUGGACUGAAUUGGAGGAAAGGAACUGGCACCAGAGUGGAGGCUGGAAGGAUGGUGGAACUGACACUGGGACAGAACACAGAAAACAGAAUCUAAUGCUAUUGCUCUGGCUAUAUCAAAUAAAAGUGUCAAGAGUGAGCAUCCUUGCCUUGUGCUGAAUCACAAAGGAAUACCUUUCAGUUUUUCUCCAUUGAUUAUGAUAGCAGUGGGCUUUUCACAGUGGGCUUUACUGUGUUGAGGUACCCUAAUGACAAGUUCACCCCAGUGUUUUCUGAGGAGUCUACCUGGAAAUGAGAACCAUCUGUCCUUCCUAUAGUAGUUCUUCUCAGAAUGCCGACUCUAUGCUAAUGGAGGAGGUCUGAUGGCCGGGAGGACAGGAAGAAGGAACCCACAAUGAAGCAAAAGUUGCGUUUAACUCUGUCCUCACCAUUCCUCUCCUGGACCUGUCCUAAACUGGAAGCUGGGGGAGGAUGGAGUGCUGGAAUGCUGCAGAAGUCUCAUGGGAGGGCGCCUGGUGUUCACCACAUGUGUACACUGUUGCACGACCAGAUGGAAAUUUGAAUGCUGGGGCUCAGUGGAACACCUGAAGGAAGCUGGUGAGGCAGAUGUCCCGCUAUGCCUUCCAAGUGUCAUGCAACCAGUUCAUGCCUGUCAGCAUCUCUGCCGGUGGACUCUGUGAGUCAGCAAAUCUACAGAGCAGAGAGCCACAAGUGGGGACAGAUGUGGUCAAAUGCCAUUUAAAUCAGUGAUUCUCAACCCAGGAGUUGUCAUGGCACUGGCCUUGAGUGAGCUGGACCAAGGGAAGUGGUAGAAUUCCCCAUGAAGGACCAAGUGAGCAGAUAGAAGUUUCUCCAUUUUAACUUUUUCUGAGUCAAUUUAAAAAACACCUAGUGCCUUUUUCUGU
rnacentral:lncRNA from 10 species